AAAAGACCAAGGAAUAACAUUGC
rnacentral:piRNA from 1 species